AUCUUUGCGCUUGGGGCAAUGACGCAGCUAAUGAGGUUCUAACUGAGGCGCGUCUAUUGCUGGUUGAAAACUAUUUCCAAACCCCCUCUUAGGCCUGGGUUCAGCCCUGGCCUUCGAGAAUUUCUGGAAGGGCUCCCUUUGGGGUAAAGCUCUGCAAUUCCAGUAUAAAAUUUUAUUAUAUUUAUCCUAUUGAAAGGUCGUCUUGGCUAAUUUCACCUAAUCUUUCUCUUCCAGAUUUAUUUGUUUAUUUAUUAGUUAGUGUUGUAUGAUUAUAUAUUUAUUCUGUCG